GGAAAAAAAGUAAAAAGGAAAGCAAAGGACAUCACUGCUCCUAAGUAUGGUGGAGGAGAAAGUUUAUUGUAGAUGAAAGCCAGAGUGAGAGGCAUCUGGGAGAGUCCAGAGUGGUCAUAGCCCUGAGAGGGGGAGGGAGAAAGGAACGAGGGGAACCAGGAGCAGCAGCCAGGAGGCCAAAGGAUGACACUUCAGAACAGGCCAUUCAGGAAGGGGAAGCAGGAGCCACACCAAAGCCCUUGUCCCGUGAAAUCCAGCAUGAACCAGGUCCUAGAUUAAAGAUGAAUGACAUUUCGUGGGAAUUAUAGUUCCUGGCUUCUCCUGGGCCUCAUCUUCUCUCGAAUUCAAGAUUCAUUUUUCUCUUGCACAUGAAAGGUAGUAAGUGUGACAGUUAAUACUGUCCACCUGACAGGCUCUAAAAUCACCUGGGAGACAGGAUUAUCUAGAUUAGAUUAUUAAGGCAGGAAGAGAGUGAGCUGAACGGAACACCGCCAUCCUCCUCUGCUUCCGGACUGGUCCUGACUGGAAGCCACAUGACCAGAUGCUUGUCCCCCCCCCCCAGGGCUUCUUCACCAUGAAGGACUGCACCCUUGUGAGCCAAGAAAGCCCUUCCUCUCUUGAAUUGCUUCAGUCCGGGUGUUUGAUAAGUGAGCAAGCAGAGUAUGUUUCUGGGUCUACUCCCUGUCCUUAGUAGUUCAAGGGUCCAAAAGUUUUACUUCACUACAUGGAGCUGGGGUUACGGACAGUUGUGAGCUGCCUGAUUCAGUGCUGGCCAUUGAACCCGGGUCCUCUGGAAGAGCAGCCAGUGUUCUGAACUGCUGAACCAUCCGUCCAGCCCCCUGAGGCAGAAGGUGUAACUGAGCGUGGAAGUCGUGCCUCAACACAAUCAUAAAUCCCAACUCUCUCAGCAAAGACAGGUGAGUUUUUGUUCCAGAUGUUUAAGAAAACCUUAGUGCUGGGGCUGGAGAGAUGGCUCAGAGGUUAAGAGCACUGGUUGCUCUUCCAGAGGUUCUGAGUUCAAUUCCCAGCAACCACAUGGUGGCUCACAACCAUCAGUAAUGAGACCUGGUGCCCUCUUCUGGCAUGCAGGCAUAAAUGCAGGUAGAAUACUGCAUACAUAAUAAAAUAAAUCUUUAAAAAAUGAGGUUAUUAAAAAAAGAGAGAGAGGGAAAACCUUAGUGCUGACUGUAGCAAGCUUUUUGUUGGACAGUCUUUGGAUUACCA
rnacentral:lncRNA from 1 species